UUAAGCGACUAAGCGUACACGGUGGAUGCCCUGGCAGUCAGAGGCGAUGAAGGACGUGCUAAUCUGCGAUAAGCGUCGGUAAGGUGAUAUGAACCGUUAUAACCGGCGAUUUCCGAAUGGGGAAACCCAGUGUGAUUCGUCACACUAUCAUUAACUGAAUCCAUAGGUUAAUGAGGCGAACCGGGGGAACUGAAACAUCUAAGUACCCCGAGGAAAAGAAAUCAACCGAGAUUCCCCCAGUAGCGGCGAGCGAACGGGGAGCAGCCCAGAGCCUGAAUCAGUGUGUGUGUUAGUGGAAGCGUCUGGAAAGGCGUGCGAUACAGGGUGACAGCCCCGUACACAAAAAUGCACAUAUUGUGAGCUCGAUGAGUAGGGCGGGACACGUGGUAUCCUGUCUGAAUAUGGGGGGACCAUCCUCCAAGGCUGAAUACUCCUGACUGACCGAUAGUGAACCAGUACCGUGAGGGAAAGGCGAAAAGAACCCCGGCGAGGGGAGUGAAAAAGAACCUGAAACCGUGUACGUACAAGCAGUGGGAGCACGCUUAGGCGUGUGACUGCGUACCUUUUGUAUAAUGGGUCAGCGACUUAUAUUCUGUAGCAAGGUUAACCGAAUAGGGGAGCCGAAGGGAAACCGAGUCUUAACUGGGCGUUAAGUUGCAGGGUAUAGACCCGAAACCCGGUGAUCUAGCCAUGGGCAGGUUGAAGGUUGGGUAACACUAACUGGAGGACCGAACCGACUAAUGUUGAAAAAUUAGCGGAUGACUUGUGGCUGGGGGUGAAAGGCCAAUCAAACCGGGAGAUAGCUGGUUCUCCCCGAAAGCUAUUUAGGUAGCGCCUCGUGAAUUCAUCUCCGGGGGUAGAGCACUGUUUCGGCAAGGGGGUCAUCCCGACUUACCAACCCGAUGCAAACUGCGAAUACCGGAGAAUGUUAUCACGGGAGACACACGGCGGGUGCUAACGUCCGUCGUGAAGAGGGAAACAACCCAGACCGCCAGCUAAGGUCCCAAAGUCAUGGUUAAGUGGGAAACGAUGUGGGAAGGCCCAGACAGCCAGGAUGUUGGCUUAGAAGCAGCCAUCAUUUAAAGAAAGCGUAAUAGCUCACUGGUCGAGUCGGCCUGCGCGGAAGAUGUAACGGGGCUAAACCAUGCACCGAAGCUGCGGCAGCGACGCUGAUGCGUUGUUGGGUAGGGGAGCGUUCUGUAAGCCUGCGAAGGUGUGCUGUGAGGCAUGCUGGAGGUAUCAGAAGUGCGAAUGCUGACAUAAGUAACGAUAAAGCGGGUGAAAAGCCCGCUCGCCGGAAGACCAAGGGUUCCUGUCCAACGUUAAUCGGGGCAGGGUGAGUCGACCCCUAAGGCGAGGCCGAAAGGCGUAGUCGAUGGGAAACAGGUUAAUAUUCCUGUACUUGGUGUUACUGCGAAGGGGGGACGGAGAAGGCUAUGUUGGCCGGGCGACGGUUGUCCCGGUUUAAGCGUGUAGGCUGGUUUUCCAGGCAAAUCCGGAAAAUCAAGGCUGAGGCGUGAUGACGAGGCACUACGGUGCUGAAGCAACAAAUGCCCUGCUUCCAGGAAAAGCCUCUAAGCAUCAGGUAACAUCAAAUCGUACCCCAAACCGACACAGGUGGUCAGGUAGAGAAUACCAAGGCGCUUGAGAGAACUCGGGUGAAGGAACUAGGCAAAAUGGUGCCGUAACUUCGGGAGAAGGCACGCUGAUAUGUAGGUGAAGUCCCUCGCGGAUGGAGCUGAAAUCAGUCGAAGAUACCAGCUGGCUGCAACUGUUUAUUAAAAACACAGCACUGUGCAAACACGAAAGUGGACGUAUACGGUGUGACGCCUGCCCGGUGCCGGAAGGUUAAUUGAUGGGGUCAGCGCAAGCGAAGCUCUUGAUCGAAGCCCCGGUAAACGGCGGCCGUAACUAUAACGGUCCUAAGGUAGCGAAAUUCCUUGUCGGGUAAGUUCCGACCUGCACGAAUGGCGUAAUGAUGGCCAGGCUGUCUCCACCCGAGACUCAGUGAAAUUGAACUCGCUGUGAAGAUGCAGUGUACCCGCGGCAAGACGGAAAGACCCCGUGAACCUUUACUAUAGCUUGACACUGAACAUUGAGCCUUGAUGUGUAGGAUAGGUGGGAGGCUUUGAAGUGUGGACGCCAGUCUGCAUGGAGCCGACCUUGAAAUACCACCCUUUAAUGUUUGAUGUUCUAACGUGGACCCGUAAUCCGGGUUGCGGACAGUGUCUGGUGGGUAGUUUGACUGGGGCGGUCUCCUCCUAAAGAGUAACGGAGGAGCACGAAGGUUGGCUAAUCCUGGUCGGACAUCAGGAGGUUAGUGCAAUGGCAUAAGCCAGCUUGACUGCGAGCGUGACGGCGCGAGCAGGUGCGAAAGCAGGUCAUAGUGAUCCGGUGGUUCUGAAUGGAAGGGCCAUCGCUCAACGGAUAAAAGGUACUCCGGGGAUAACAGGCUGAUACCGCCCAAGAGUUCAUAUCGACGGCGGUGUUUGGCACCUCGAUGUCGGCUCAUCACAUCCUGGGGCUGAAGUAGGUCCCAAGGGUAUGGCUGUUCGCCAUUUAAAGUGGUACGCGAGCUGGGUUUAGAACGUCGUGAGACAGUUCGGUCCCUAUCUGCCGUGGGCGCUGGAGAAUUGAGGGGGGCUGCUCCUAGUACGAGAGGACCGGAGUGGACGCAUCACUGGUGUUCGGGUUGUCAUGCCAAUGGCACUGCCCGGUAGCUAAAUGCGGAAGAGAUAAGUGCUGAAAGCAUCUAAGCACGAAACUUGCCCCGAGAUGAGUUCUCCCUGACUCCUUGAGAGUCCUGAAGGAACGUUGAAGACGACGACGUUGAUAGGCCGGGUGUGUAAGCGCAGCGAUGCGUUGAGCUAACCGGUACUAAUGAACCGUGAGGCUUAACCUU
rnacentral:rRNA from 1 species